GAAAAAUUUCACCAACCCAAUUUAUGAACCCCAAUUUCUCUUCUCUACUCUAAAGCUUCAAUCUUGCUUUCUCACGUAUCUCUCUCCCUCUAUACCCCCUCCCUGUGUUAUUGUUAGGAGAAGUCUUUCUUUUUAUUUUAUGGUCUUCUAUAUAUAGAUAUAUAGCAAAAAGUCUAGUGAUUUUCAUGUUCUACUUGGGGACAAAAGUGCUUCUUGACCUCUGUUAUUUUCUUUUGUUUGUUUUGCUGGCUUUCACUGACCUGCAGAGCCAGACAAGGUAUGCUUACAUUCCGUCUUCAAACCGCAAAACCUUCCUUAGUCUCAAAUACCCAGUUCUUAUCUCUGCAACUUGUUUUCUACUUUUUGGGUUUUCUGGUUCUAGUUGUGGUCUUUCCUGAGCAAUACAAUAGCACAGCAAGUUUGCAUUUUUAGCUCUACUUGUUUAGGAGCGCCCUUAGCCCUAAAAUGACUCUGCAUAUUAGUUUGAAUGGAGUUGCAGAGGCUUAAAGUAUUGUUUGAAAUGGUCUCAGAAGCAUAUAUGAUAUAGAGGUUGUGUUUUAAAGCAUUGGGGGAGGCUUUUGCUGUGGUUUUGGCUUUUUGGUUCAAAGUUGCUGCUCUUCUCUUUGCGAGUUUUUGGCUUGAUUCCAAAUGGGUUUCGGUUUCUUUGGUUCUAUCUUGGUUCUUUCAAUGUUCUUCAAGCCUUUACCUUGUCAACAACCCAAUACAGAUGCUUUCUUUGUCUCUGAGUUUUUGAAGAAGAUGAAUUUCACUUCUUCUCCACUUUUUAAUUUCUCUGCUUCCGUUUGUUCGUGGCAAGGCUUGUUCUGUGAUGCCGAAGAAAAUGUUUGGGGGUUAGUGGCUUCUGGUGAUGGCCUCUCUGGUUCCAUUCCUGAUACCACCAUUGGCAAGCUAA
rnacentral:misc_RNA from 1 species